rnacentral:rRNA from 1 species
CGCGUAGGCGGCGCUGGAAGUCAGGCGUGAAAGCCCCGGGCUCAACCUGGGAGGUGCGCUUGGGACUCUGGUGCUGGAGUGCGGGAGAGGAGCGUGGAAUUCCCAGUGUAGAGGUGAAAUUCGUAGAUAUUGGGAAGAACACCGGUGGCGAAGGCGGCGCUCUGGACCGAUACUGACGCUGAGGCGCGAAAGCGUGGGGAGCAAACAGGAUUAGAUACCCUGGUAGUCCACGCUGUAAACGAUGUGUGCUAGACGUUGGGGAGCCUAGCUCUUCGGUGUCGCCGCAAACGCUUUAAGCACACCGCCUGGGGAGUACGGCCGCAAGGUUAA